UGUUAGGACAACUGGUCGUUCCAUAGGUUUCCACUCCCUAAAUCGUGAAUACAUCAUUCCCUUCUCUCAUUCAAUUGCAGCUGUUUUUCACAUUUUCCUCUCUCUCGAUCGGCGAUUGGUGUGCAGGGACGAUCACCUUCACCUCUGGCCUCCUCCGCAGUAACAAUUGUCAUUGUCAGUGUUAGGACCAGUGAUCAUUUCCUUCGGUAGUUCACGAUCAUAGUCCCCUCUUCACUCUUCUCUCUUCUUUGAUCAGAUAUUUGCUGCUUUCCGGAUACAAAAUCAACGGCCACUUUACCAGAGCGAUUCCACAAUAGAACUUCCUUCACUAGCAGCGAUAAUUCAAUUCCCCUAUGACGACGACUGCAUCUUCACUCUGUAACAUCCAAUUUCGAAAAUCAUAAAGAUUAUGGCAUCAGGUACAGAUGAAGCUCUCGGGCAUGUUGGUUCAGUUCUUUCAUCAGGUAAUGUACAUGUCUUGAUGACAUCAGAUGAGUUAUGUUAAACCUUUAUUUAUCAAUCUUAUUACAACUAUUAUGAAUAAUCAAAGUAACUUAUUUUCCUUUUUUAUUUCAAUCACAUUGAGUGAGAAGCUAUAUGUGAUAAAAGGGGGUUGUGGAGCUAGAAGCUGGUGAAUCAACUGUUAGCUGGAGUUCAUAUAGUAUCAUCAACUGAAACAAUGGCCUUUGGAGCAAUUCUAUAGAUACAAGAAUCUUGGAUGUUUGAUAAUUGAGGUCCACACAUGGUGGACAAUGACUAUACACCCCUAUCUGCACUUGAUAUCUUCGUGAAGGAUCUAGUUUGACUAAUAUCCAUCUAUUGUUCUAUUUUUUUUACUCAAAAAAUCGACCUUAUGAUGAUACCACACUUUUUCAGGGUAUUGUGGCUCGUGAAUGUGCAUCACGUAGAGUAAGAUGUAAAUAAUCAAAAGAUUCUUAAAGUUCUUCUAAACCUUACUCUAUGUCCUUUAAGUUUGAUGCUAUGACAUGAUUUAUGUAAGAAAUGAUUAGUAGUCAUUUUGGGGCGUGACAUUGAAGAUAUUUUCAAAUAUUAUUAGUUAAUUAACACCACAUUGUUUGUGAAUCUAUAAGCUUGGAAGCUUUGAUGCUGGAUAUAGGAGUGCGAUAAUGUCAUGAUUGGUAGGCCCUAAAAAGCUCUUUAAAUGUGGUUUUUGGCAUGUUUUUUCAGUGCUCAAGAAGCAAAAAAGAUGGGAUUGAUCGACAUUGUAGUCCCUAAAGUUGCUCUGAAAUUGGGAGUGUUGACAAGUGAAGAACUGGAUGCAAAGUUUAGUAGAUCUGAAUUACUUUAAAACAUGUAAUGUUUGGGAAUCUUCCUUCAAUUUGUAUUAUUUUAAAACAUGUAAUAAAAUCAUUUAACACUAUUUUUUGCAAUUAAAUUUACCGUUUUAACUA